rnacentral:snoRNA from 1 species
UCGACUACUAUGAUGAAAGAUCGAAUUUUUUAAUUCAGUUAUCCCUGUCCGAGGUAUUCGUGCGGAUAUUCACUAUUCUGAUGGUCGU